GAUGAACGCUGGCGGCGUGCCUAACACAUGCAAGUCGAGCGAUUUACUUCGGUAAAGAGCGGCGGACGGGUGAGUAACGCGUGGGUAACCUGCCCUGUACACACGGAUAACAUACCGAAAGGUAUGCUAAUACGAGAUAAUAUGCUUUUGUCGCAUGGUAGAAGUAUCAAAGCUUUUGCGGUACAGGAUGGACCCGCGUCUGAUUAGCUAGUUGGUAAGGUAACGGCUUACCAAGGCGACGAUCAGUAGCCGACCUGAGAGGGUGAUCGGCCACAUUGGAACUGAGACACGGUCCAAACUCCUACGGGAGGCAGCAGUGGGGAAUAUUGCACAAUGAGCGAAAGCUUGACGCAGCAACGCCGCGUGAAGGAUGAAAUCCUUCGGGAUGUAAACUUCGCAAGUAUGGGAAGAAAAAAUAGACGGUACCAUAUGUAAGCCCCGGCUAACUCCGUGCCAGCAGCCGCGGUAAGGUAGAUGAGU
rnacentral:rRNA from 1 species